rnacentral:lncRNA from 1 species
GGCGCAGUUCUUGCGGGAGGAGCGGGGCGGUGCGCUCCUGGCCACGCAGGCUGGAAACUGUAGCUCUUAACGGUUCCCCGCCCGUUGGUGGCAAGGCGGCUGGACUAGAAUCCUAGCAGGCGAUAUGCGAGAAGGCGGGCAGCCCAAGAGGGUUGGGCAGGGCAGUGUGGAUCUCGCCGCUUCCACAGCGAUGCUGGCUACUGAUUUCGGACACCUCCUUGCCAUGGGAUGGAAAUUAAUGUUAUGACUGGAUAAGACAAUUGUGAAGAAACUGCACUUCGAGGUUGUCUGUCUCCGUAUUCCGAUGGAAAAGGCUGGACUUUAGAAGCAUUGCUCGCUCCUUCAGUUUCUAACAAGAGUUUUACAGUUUCUGAUUAAAUACCAAUGGGAUAUCACCUCCCAUCUCUUAGGAUGGCUGUUAUAAAAAGGACAAGAGAUAACAAGUGUUGGUGAUGGUGUGGAGAGAAGGGAACCUUUGUACACUGCUGGUUAAAAUGAAAUGAAAUCAGCAUCUGAUAGAGAUAUCUUCACUCCCCUCUUCUCCGUGCCCCACCACAGCAUUGCUCCCAACAGCCAAGCCAUGGGAUGAAGUUACUGUGCAUUGAUGGAUGAGUGGAGAAAAGAAAAUGUGGGGGAGGUGUUUGUGCAUGUAUGUGUGUGUGUGUAUAAUAUAUAAUAAUAUAAUAUUUUUCAGCUUUUAAGAAGUUGAAGAUACUGCCAUUUGUGAUAACAUAAAUGAAUCUGGAGGAUAUUAAGCUAAGUAAAAUAACUUAGGGAGAGAGAAAAAUACUGCAUAAUUUCUGUUACAUAUGAAAUCUUUAAAAAGGUUUAAUACAUAGAGACAUGAUAGAGUGAUGAUUUGGGGGAUAAGAGACACAAGUCAACGUUUCAGUUAUAUAAAAUAAAUGAAUCUAGAGGACUAAAGUACAAUUUAAAGGUUAUAGUUACUAUUUUUAUAUUAUAUACUAGUGAUUUUUGAACAGGGUAAACUUUAGGUGCUUUGACACCAAAAGGAAACUACAUGAGUUCAUGUAUAUGUUAAAUUGUUUGACCGCAGUCAUCAUUGAUAUGUAUAUGUAUAUAUAUAUAAUUAUGGGCUCAUUAAAUUUAAAUGCUAUAAAUAGGUAACAAAGAAUAAAGUUAAUUGAAAAACUGCA